GAUGAACGCUGGCGGCGUGCCUAAUACAUGCAAGUCGAGCGAACCACUUCGGUGGUGAGCGGCGAACGGGUGAGUAACACGUAGGUGAUCUGCCCAUCAGACGGGGACAACGAUUGGAAACGAUCGCUAAUACCGGAUAGGACGAAAGUUUAAAGGUGCUUCUGGCACCGCUGAUGGAUGAGCCUGCGGCGCAUUAGCUAGUUGGUAGGGUAAAGGCCUACCAAGGCGACGAUGCGUAGCGGACCUGAGAGGGUGAACGGCCACACUGGGACUGAGACACGGCCCAGACUCCUACGGGAGGCAGCAGUAGGGAAUCUUCGGCAAUGGGCGAAAGCCUGACCGAGCAACGCCGCGGGAAUGAUGAAGGCCUUCGGGUUGUAAAAUUCUGUUAUAAGGGAAGAACGACUUUAGUAGGAAAUGGCUAGAGUGUGACGGUACCUUAUGAGAAAGCCACGGCUAACUACGUGCCAGCCGCCGCCGCGG
rnacentral:rRNA from 1 species